rnacentral:rRNA from 1 species
GACGAACGCUGGCGGCGUGCUUAACACAUGCAAGUCGAACGAAGUGGCGAACGGGUGAGUAACGCGUAAUCAACCUGCCCUUCAGAAGGGUACAACAGUUGGAAACGACUGCUAAUACCGCAUACUGAAGGAGGGGAUUGCGUCUGAUUAGCUAGUUGGAGGGGUAACGGCCCACCAAGGCGAUGAUCAGUAGCCGGUCUGAGAGGAUGAACGGCAACAUUGGGACUGAGACACGGCCCAGACUCCUACGGAAGGCAGCAGUGGGGAGUCUUCCGCAAUGGACGAAAGUCUGACGGAGCAACGCAGCGUGAGUGAUGACGGCCUUCGGGUUGUAAAGCUCUGUUAAUCGGGACGCGGUACCGGAAUAGAAAGCCACGGCUAACUACGUGCCAGCCGCCGCGGUAAUAC